ensembl:lncRNA
AAAAAGUAAAAGCCAUAGAGCAUUCCGCUCAAUUUUCAAAAUAAAACACAAUAAAUAAAACACCAACAUUAUUACGUCAUGACCGGUGGCACCAGGUCAGCAGUCAAUCAAUCAAAGGGUCUCAAAUCAUCCUUUUUAUAAGAACAAUGUCAGAAAGGACAAAGCCUGGCAUUUAAUUGCAGUAGUUUUGGGAGUGGAAGGUGAGUACAUUAGGUUUAGGAUUAUCGCGGGAUCUCGUGAUCUCGCGUGAAUACGGCUGGCUCGCAAGGCAGCGUUGCGCUGCCGUAACGCGCCCGGUGGAAAUGCAAGCAGGGCAAAGUCGCGGCCAAGACGUGCCGCAGCCGUAAAGGCCUCCACACACCGGCGCCGCAGCGCAGCGUCGCGUAUUUUACGCGCGUCAAAAGCACGCCCCUAGCACCAACAGGAGGCGGCGCGACGGCCGCGCUGCAGUAUAAAAUCAGGAAGUCACCUGUCAAUCAACCGCAGCAAAGACACGAAACGCAAUGGAACAAAUAACUGUUGCCAGACAGAGGGGGGCUGCCCUUCUUCUCCUGCAAGGAGCAAGGAGAAGACGAAGGGUUUGGGUGCACCCCAUCAAUGAACGGAGACAAGAACAGGGGGUAUGCCACAAUCUGGUCCAGGAGCUCCGUGCAGAUCCUGAGAGGCACGCCAAUAUUUCAAUUCGCUACUAAGUGUGCAAUGGCAGAACCAUAUGGUGCAGCCUAUAUGAUGACCUAUAAUCUAGUUAUUAUCCCUCUCUGGUAUACUCUUUUGCAUAUAUAUACUUUUUUUUUAUCCCUCGGGAUAAAUACAGUGAUGUUAUUGCUGUGCUGGAUUCAGUAGCCAGUGUAUUUUAUUUGAGUGCUCGAGACACUUAAUGUUAUUUUUCCCUAAAUCCAGAGAGACAGUUAAUGCAUGAUCUGAUACCAGAGAGACAGUUAAUACAUGACAAUGCAUUUUUGAGCUUUGCCUGUGUUUCCUUUUACUUAUCUAUUUUAUUGUAUGAGAAUGUUUCUAUGUGAAGCACUUUGAGUCUGCUUCAUGUAUUAAAAGUGCUAUAUGAAUGAAGUUGCCUUGCCUUAAAUAAAAACAUAUAUAUUACAAGUAAUCUGG